GCGCUGCCCCGCCGGCUCCCGGCCCCUCACGGGAGGGAACAGGCUGCUCCCGUUGGCUUGCGAGGGAUCAGGACAGGAAAGGAAGAAGACGUGUAGGUUUGUUUUUUUUUUUUUUUUCCCCCCCUCUAAAUAUGUGCGCAAAAGUUAAGUUUAUAAACUUGAGAAACGCUGCGUUGUUGGGCGUCGAUAUGAUUCAGGCUAUUAGACGCUUGGCUGAGAGCGAAAAGUGACCUGACCUCAGUACAGUAGAGGCAAGCUGCAGGCAUGUUAUGAACCAGAUGGAUAGAAUACACUCAGUGACAUUGGAGCAACACCCACCACAUUGCCUCAUGGUGUAAAAAGAAACAUCUGAAGAUGUGAGAAGCAGCAGAUCUCUUCAUACAGAGUUCACUGUAGAGCAGAGUGUGCUGUUUUCUCCUCUGGGCUACUGAAAUCAGAAUUGCUGCCUUCCCUGGGACUGAUCUUCUGUGAUGGCCUUGUAGCUCCUUCUGGAGCUGGGGUUGUGGUAAAGUAACCAUCUCCAUGGACUUCCAGUGCCUGACUCAAGACCAGGCCUUUAAGAGGGAAUUUUGCUGGGAGGAAAGCAGAGCAGCACGUUGUACACUGUCACAGAAUCUUAGAAUCCUGCAGGUUGGACAGACCUUUAAUAUCUAGCCCAAGAAUAAACCUCACACUGCCAAAUCCACCACUAAAGCACAUCCCUAAGUGCCACACCUACCUGCCAGUAUGUUCUGGAUAUGGAUGUUCAGUGUUUGUGCUGCACUAGGAUUUGCAUUCUCCAUUUCUCCUCAUUUUCUGGCAAACAGCCUGAAAAGAUUAAAUAUAGAAGUGUCCACACAGGAA